CAGUCGCCGCGGGAAUACGAAGGGGGCUAGCGUUGUUCGGAUUAACUGGGCGUAAAGGGCGCGUAGGCGGGUUUUUAAGUCAGAGGUGAAAUCCCAAGGCUCAACCUUGGAACUGCCUUUGAUACUGGAAGUCUUGAGUCCGGGAGAGGUGAGUGGAACUGCGAGUGUAGAGGUGAAAUUCGUAGAUAUUCGCAAGAACACCAGUGGCGAAGGCGGCUCACUGGCCCGGUACUGACGCUGAGGCGCGAAAGCGUGGGGAGCAAACAGGAUUAGAUACCCCUGUAGUCCCUGUCUCUUAUAA
rnacentral:rRNA from 1 species